CUUCUGGUCUCCGGCAGAUGACGGGAGGAGAGCCCGAGAUGAUAGAAAGCGACGCCCCCCGGUUCUGGGGGUUUUAUUAGCUGAGCACCGUUCCCGGAGAUCCUUGGGGUCACAUUGAAGCGCUGUGCCCGGUCACUGAUGUAGCAGGACCUCGUGUUGGAACGGAACGCGGCUUCCUGUGGUGACCAGACAGGUUAUGACGGAUCGGCAGUUGCUGGAGAAUUAAUAAAGAUGGUGAAAUAACGAUA